rnacentral:rRNA from 1 species
UACAUGGGGUGCAAACGUUGCUCGGAAUUAUUGGGCGUAAAGCGCACGUAGGCGGUUUGUUAAGUCGGAUGUGAAAUCCCUCGGCUCAACUGAGGAAGUGCAUCCGAAACUGGCAAGCUUGAGUACGAAAGAGGGUCGCGGAGUUCCCGGUGUAGAGGUGAAAUUCGUAGAUAUCGAGAGGAACACCGGUGGCGAAGGCGGCCUUCUGGACAGUGACUGACGCUGAGACGCGAAAGCGUGGGGAGCAAACAGG